AUUGAACGCUGGCGGCAGGCCUAACACAUGCAAGUCGAACGGUAACAGGAAACAGCUUGCUGUUUCGCUGACGAGUGGCGGACGGGUGAGUAAUGUCUGGGAAACUGCCUGAUGGAGGGGGAUAACUACUGGAAACGGUAGCUAAUACCGCAUAACGUCGCAAGACCAAAGAGGGGGACCCUCGGGCCUCUUGCCAUCGGAUGUGCCCAGAUGGGAUUAGCUUGUUGGUGGGGUAACGGCUCACCAAGGCGACGAUCCCUAGCUGGUCUGAGAGGAUGACCAGCCACUCUGGAACUGAGACACGGUCCAGACUCCUACGGGAGGCAGCAGUGGGGAAUAUUGCACAAUGGGCGCAAGCCUGAUGCAGCCAUGCCGCGUGUAUGAAGAAGGCCUUCGGGUUGUAAAGUACUUUCAGCGGGGAGGAAGGGAGUAAAGUUAAUACCUUUGCUCAUUGACGUUACCCGCAGAAGAAGCACCGGCUAACUCCGUG
rnacentral:rRNA from 1 species